UUCCUCUUUUCCUCUCCACUCCCAAUAGGCUCGGGUUAUGUAUGAUUUUGCUGCUGAACCUGGAAAUAAUGAACUGACAGUUAAUGAAGGAGAAAUUAUCACAAUUACAAAUCCGGAUGUUGGUGGAGGAUGGUUGGAAGGAAGAAACAACAAAGGAGAACGAGGGCUGGUUCCCACAGACUAUGUUGAAAUCUUGCCCAGUGAUGGAAAAGAUCAGUUUUCCUGUGGAGAUUCAGUGGCUGACCAAGCCUUCCUCGAUUCUCUCUCAGCAAGUACGGCUCCAGCCAAUUCACCAGCCGCCAACAGCAGUAACCAGGUGGAUGUUUUGGCUCAGUUUGGUUGUGUCGAAAGUCUCAGCCACUCACCACCUUCUUCAUCUUCUCCUUCUCCUUCUCCUUCCAUAAAUAAGGU